AAAAUUCUCAUCUCCGCGGCGAGUUGCAAGCCUCUCUCAAUCAUCUUCCUUCUCUGUUUCCUCUACACAUCUCAAAUUUCGUACGAAUAAUCGCUGACAAUUUAUCGGAGAAAUUUCUGCUCUUGAAUCUUGAUCAUAUCACAUUUGUUGGAUGAAUAUUUUAGAUGACGAGUUAUAAGAGAAAUUGAUGCUCUGGAACCAUAGAUCUUUCUUGAGCUUCAGAUUAUGUCAGAUUUUUUAUACCCAACCCUAUCCGUGCGAUUCUUUCUCGUGAACUCGAGUUGUACUAUUCUUAUUAUUCUUUUACAACAAAGAAUGGAAGAUACAAAUGGUGCCAUGAUUAAACUCGCUGCUUACAACUAUACACUUUGGAAACCAAGGAUGGAGGAUCUUCUUUAUCAUAAAGAUUAUUAUGAUCCUAUAUAACACAAAGGUAUAAACGCCGAUCCUACUAAGGAUGCGGAAUGGAAGAAGACGAAUAGAAAAAGAAUUGGUUUAAUUAGACAAUGGAUUGAUCAUAGUGUCUUUCAUCAUGUGUCUCAAGAAGUUGAUGCUUAUGCUCUUUGAAAGAAGCCGAAAGAUAUGUAUCAAUCAAAGAUAGCACGUAAUAAGGCCCUCCUAGCGUGAAAGUUGGUGAGUAUGAAAUUGCGAAGUGGAAUGUCGGUGGCUGAGCACACCAGUGAAUUUCAAAAUGUAGUAAACCAAAUGUUUGUAGUGGAACUAAAUCUUGAUGAUGAGAUGCAAGCUCUCUUACUGCUUAGUUCUCUUCUUGAUAAUUGAGACACUGUAGUAGUCACUUGCAAUAAUUAAACUUCUGGUGGAAAACUCACUAUGUCUAUAGUGAAGGACGCCUUGUUCAAUGAGGAAGUUAGGCGAAAAGAAAAUGUCGUAAACAACGAGGAAGUCUUUGUCACAAAAGGUAGGGGGAUACAGCGAAGGGAAAAUCAAGGCAGAUGGAGAGGAAGGAGCAAAAGUAGGGGUAAGUUAAUAAGGGGCAGGUCAGUAGAAGGGUGGAAACCAAGGUGCUAGCAAUAUGGGAUGAAAGGUCAUUUCAAGAGAAAUUGUAGAAGGUUACGAAGGGAGCAAGACCCAGAAAGCUCCCUAGCAAAGAGGGAUGGGGAGACACAAGUCACAGUCCUUGAAGAGUUGUUGCAUACACUGUUCAAGAAGAGUUAUGCCUUGUAGAGUCGAGUGGAAAAGUUGAACGGACAACUGAUACUGCAGACAUUUGGCCUUGUGAAGAUGGGAAAUACCAGUGUUGCUAAGAUUGUGGGUCUUGGCAAUAUCCAAAUAGUAAUAGAUGUUGGGUGUAAACUUUGAAAGAUGUAUGACACCUGCAGGAUCUUCGAUUGAAUCUACUUUCGAUACGAACACUUGAUCAACGGGGUUUUGAAAACCGCUUCCACAAUGGCACGCGGGGUUUUGAUCUAAUUUCCGAUUAACAAAGCAUCUUGUGAAGAUUUUGGCAUCAGUAAUAGCCAUUAUAGUGUUAUGAAUUUAAGUGUUUAGGUUAAACUGUCAUAACUAAUAACCAUCGUUAAUGUUUUCUUUCUUUAGGAAUUAAUAUCAUUCUGAAUAUGACGUAAACAUCUGUUUUGAAUUGAUUCAUUUGAUGCGCAGCGAAUUCUGUCUUCUUGGUUUCCUUGAUCUUGUGACAUAGAUUUAGUUGGUACGUCUGUAUACUUCCAAGUGAUGCUGGAAAAUUGCGCAAGGGUUUUGAGUUGCAAUGAAAUAAAUUUCACGGAGAUUCCACCUGAUGGAAGUGACAAAUAGUUUUUAAUUCAAUUAAGUAGACAUGUAGGAUUUGGUAUCCUCAUGAAUGUGAUUACAUUUGAUUAUUUAUUUUGACCCUUGCCUGGUUGGAGGUAUGAAAUGAUGAACUGUUGUAUGUACUUGCGUUUUUAGCUGUGAUUGCUUAAGUUUUAACUUCGAAGGCCAUAGCAGAAUUUAGAAUACAUUUGAUGUGGGAAUGCUUUAUGUAAUAAAUUGAAUUCCUUCAUUUGAUGUGCAGCGAAUUUUUUCUUCUUGGUUUCCUUGAUCUUGUGACAUAGAUUUAGUUGGUAUGUCUGUAUACUUCCAAGUGAUGCUGGAAAAUUGCGCAAGGGUUUUGCGUUGCAAUGAAAUAAAUUUCAUGGAGAUUCCACCUGAUGGAAGUGACAAAUAGUUUUUAAUUCAAUGAAGUAGACAUGUAGGAUUUGGUACCCUCAUGAAUGUGAUUACAUUUGAUUAUUUAUUUUGACCCUUGCCUGGUUGGAGGUAUGAAAUGAUGAAAUGUUGUAUGUACUUGCGUUUUUAGCUGUGAUUGCUUAAGUUUUAACUUCGAAGGCCAUAGCAGAAUUUUGAAUACAUUUGAUGUGGGAAUGCUUUAUGUAAUAAAUUGAAUUCCUUCAUUUGAUGUGCAGCGAAUUUUUUCUUCUUGGUUUCCUUGAUCUUGUGACAUAGAUUUAGUUGGUACGUCUGUAUACUUCCAAGUGAUGCUGGAAAAUUGCGCAAGGGUUUUGAGUUGCAAUGAAAUAAAUUUCACGGAGAUUCCACCUGAUGGAAGUGACAAAUAGUUUUUAAUUCAAUUAAGUAGACAUGUAGGAUUUGGUAUCCUCAUGAAUGUGAUUACAUUUGAUUAUUUAUUUUGACCCUUGCCUGGUUGGAGGUAUGAAAUGAUGAAAUGUUGUAUGUACUUGCGUUUCUAGCUGUGAUUGCUUAAGUUUUAACUUCGAAGGCCAUAGCAGAAUUUAGAAUACAUUUGAUGUGGGAAUGCUUUAUGUAAUAAAUUGAAUUCCUUCAUUUGAUGUGCAGCGAAUUUUUUCUUCUUGGUUUCCUUGAUCUUGUGACAUAGAUUUAGUUGGUACGUCUGUAUACUUCCAAGUGAUGCUGGAAAAUUGCGCAAGGGUUUUGAGUUGCAAUGAAAUAAAUUUCACGGAGAUUCCACCUGAUGGAAGUGACAAAUAGUUUUUAAUCAAUUAAGUAGACAUGUAGGAUUUGGUAUCCUCAUGAAUGUGAUUACAUUUGAUUAUUUAUUUUGACCCUUGCCUGGUUGGAGGUAUGAAAUGAUGAAAUGUUGUAUGUACUUGCGUUUUUAGCUGUGAUUGCUUAAGUUUUAACUUCGAAGGCCAUAGCAGAAUUUAGAAUACAUUUGAUGUGGGAAUGCUUUAUGUAAUAAAUUGAAUUCCUUCAUUUGAUGUGCAGCGAAUUUUUUCUUCUUGGUUUCAUUGAUCUUGUGACAUAGAUUUAGUUGAUAUGUCUGUAUACUUCCAAGUGAUGCUGGAAAAUUGCGCAAGGGUUUUGAGUUGCAAUGAAAUAAAUUUCAUGGAGAUUCCACCUGAUGGAAGUGACAAAUAAUUUUUAAUUCAAUUAAGUAGACAUGUAGGAUUUGGUAUCCUCAUGAAUGUGAUUACAUUUGAUUAUUUAUUUUGACCCUUGCCUGGUUGGAGGUAUGAAAUGAUGAAAUGUUGUAUGUACUUGCGUUUUUAGCUGUGAUUGCUUAAGUUUUAACUUCGAAGGCCAUAGCAGAAUUUUGAAUACAUUUGAUGUGGGAAUGCUUUAUGUAAUAAAUUGAAUUCCUUCAUUUGAUGUGCAUCGAAUUUUUUCUUCAUGGUUUCCUUGAUCGUGUGACAUAGAUUUGGUUGGUACGUCUGUAUACUUCCAAGUGAUGCUGGAAAAUUGCGCAAGGGUUUUGAGUUGCAAUGAAAUAAAUUUCACGGAGAUUCCACCUGAUGGAAGUGACAAAUAGUUUUUAAUUCAAUUAAGUAGACAUGUAGGAUUUGGUAUCCUCAUGAAUGUGAUUACAUUUGAUUAUUUAUUUUGACCCUUGCCUGGUUGGAGGUAUGAAAUGAUGAAAUGUUGUAUGUACUUGCGUUUUUAGCUGUGAUUGCUUAAGUUUUAACUUCGAAGGCCAUAGCAGAAUUUUGAAUACAUUUGAUGUGGGAAUUCUUUAUGUAAUAAAUUGAAUUUCUUCAUUAUUUUUCAGCGAAUUUUUUCUUCUUGGUUUCCUUGAUCUUGUGACAUAGAUUUAGUUGGUAUGUCUGUAUACUUCCAAGUGAUGCUGGAAAAUUGCGCAAGGGUUUUGAGUUGCAAUGAAAUAAAUUUCAUGGAGAUUCCACCUGAUGGAAGUGACAAAUAAUUUUUAAUUCAAUUAAGUAGACAUGUAGGAUUUGGUAUUCUCAUGAAUGUGAUUACAUUUGAUUAUUUAUUUUGACCCUUGCCUGGUUGGAGAUAUGAAAUGAUGAAAUGUUGUAUGUACUUGCGUUUUUAGCUGUGAUUGUGUAAGUUUUAUCUUCGAAGGCCAUAAAAACAUUUUGAAUACAUUUGAUGUGUUAAUGCUUUAUGUAAUGAACUGAAUUCCUUCAUCCAAUUCAUUGAUUUUGUCUUGGAUCUUCUGAUAUUUGUUUUCUAUUUAUGCCUGGAUUGUUUAGUCUUGAUCUUCAGGAAUUCUUUAUUUGAUCUAGUUUCAGAUUAAUAAAUGAAGCAUGUUGUGAAGGUUUUGGCAUUGGUAGUAGCCAGUACGGUGUUAUGGAUUGGCCUUUUACAAACUUCGGUAAUUUCACAUAGCUACACUUGGAUGCUACCUAUAUAUUUUGUUGUGUCUUUAGGAUGUUACGGUCUAUUAAUGGUUGGAGUUGGUUUGAUGAAUUUCCCAACCUGUCCUCAAGAAGCUCUAUUGUUGCAGAAGCCUAUCUUUCAUGAUACCAAAUUCUUUAAAUGUUGCCAUCGGGCCUGUGGCCCUAUUCACAACCAAUCUAUUCAAGUAUGUGAUGAUGUGUGGAAUGGAGCGUGUAUGUUGGAUCAGCUAAAGCCAACAUUUGCUUCUACAUAGCAGCACUUUUAAUUGGGCCUGAGCCCAAUUAUCCCAUACCUCACGCGUCCAAUUCCUUCACAACAGCCAACAAUUUCCUUUGUUCAGCAUCCACCAAGCCCACACAUCACGGAAGCCUCUGCCAGGGUUUUCUUCACCACGCGUGGAACACCAGCCGCUAGGGUUCAACGUGUCCUUGUUUUGCUUGAUCCCUCCUUGUCUCCUUUCACGUGUUCCUUCCAUCACGAUAGCACCGUUAGGUUUCAACGUUGCUGCCCCAACCCAUUUUCCCGUUAGGACUUGUACACGGCCUCGCUGCCAUUAGAUCAUUUCCUUCCCUCCAUUCUUUUCUGGUUGCCUUUCUUCUAUAAAAGGUUAACCUUUGUUUGUAAUCAACAGCAUUUGAUGAAUGAUAAAUUUAGUAGAGAUCACUGCCACCGUUCGUCUUAGCUCCCCUUUCCCUUUAGACGAGGAUUUCCCCUCCUAGGGUUACCAAACCAGUAAGAUACGAGAGCAAUCU